UUCGAAUGCUGGAUCGGCUGGCUGGGGAGCCCAGGCCAGUCCCAGGUGUGUCCUUGCACUGUCCCCACAACCCCGCCCUGUCCUGGGUCACUUUCUCCCUACUUCCAGCUGCCUGUUUCACUACAGAAAAGUUCAGGCCUCGAGACACAAAUAUGUUAGAAAUGGUUGCCCAUCGUGGGUGCUCUCAAAUUUCCUUUUCAUAGAUUUUAUAGAUCUCUGAAAUUUCCCACAAUAAACCUACGUUGCCUUUAAAAGUCAGAGAAAGCAAUACAAAUAUUUUAAAUAGACUAGAGAUUAAAUCAUUUCCUCCCCUACAAAGACUCAUGCUCUGGGGCACAGCCUUCCGGACCUGGAAGAUAAGCCCGGGGGCGCAGGGGCACGCAGUCCAGCUGCAUCUAAGUUUUGCAAAUACAAAAAGUAACCCAGGGAGAAUUCGGGAGAACAGGCCCCAGUACAGAGCUGUGUAUAGUUGUCAGUUCCUCUCGUUCUCCUAUGUGAGCCACCACAGCAUGGCCCCCGACAGAUGGGUGGUGUGGUUCUGCGCCCAGGAACCAAACUCGGGCCACCGAAGAGGAGCCCACUGAACUUUAAC
rnacentral:lncRNA from 1 species